ensembl:lncRNA
UGAUGCCACAUCUGGUCCAGCUGAUGGAAGGUCUUGAAGUUCUCUGACUGGCCUCGACUGAAGAUGGUCGUCUCACUGGAUUUAAGAUGCACAAUGAGGGACGUCUACAGAGACUGAGAAAGAGUCUCACCACAUCCUGACAUGAGGAAAAAGACUUUAUUGAAGACUACAAUGAGAAAAACUAUCAGACAGCAGACGGCUGCAUUCAAGUUUAGGCUGUUAGAUUGUUCCAGAUAAGACAAGUACAAGAUUCUUCAGAGCCGUUCUACCACGAGCCUGACAGGAAGAACUCCAACAGCUACUGAAUGUUCCUGUGGU